rnacentral:rRNA from 1 species
AUUGAACGCUGGCGGAAUGCUUUACACAUGCAAGUCGAACGGCAGCACGGACUCCGGUCUGGUGGCGAGUGGCGAACGGGUGAGUAAUGUAUCGGAACGUGCCCAGUCGUGGGGGAUAACGUAGUGAAAAUUACGCUAAUACCGCAUACGAUCUAUGGAUGAAAGCGGGGGAUCGCAAGACCUCGCGCGAUUGGAGCGGCCGAUAUCAGAUUAGGUAGUUGGUGGGGAAAAGGCCCACCAAGCCAACGAUUUGUAGCUGGUGUGAGAGGACGACCAGCAACACUGAAACGGAGACACGUUCCAGACUCAUAGGGGAGGCAGCAGUGGGGAAUUUUGGACAAUGGGCGAAAGCCUGAUCCAGCCAUUCCGCGUGCAGGAUGAAGGCCCUCGGGUUGUAAACUGUUUUUGUACAGAACGAAAAGGUUUCUACUAAUACUAGGAGCUCAUGACGGUACUGUAAAAAUAAGCACCGGCUAACUACGUGCCAGCAGCCGCCGUAA